rnacentral:rRNA from 1 species
CCUACGGGAGGCAGCAGUGAGGAAUAUUGGUCAAUGGGCGCAAGCCUGAACCAGCCAUGCCGCGUGCAGGAAGAAUGCCCUAUGGGUUGUAAACUGCUUUUAUUUAGGAAUAAACCCCUUUACGUGUAGAGGGCUGAAUGUACUAAACGAAUAAGCACCGGCUAACUCCGUGCCAGCAGCCGCGGUAAUACGGAGGGUGCAAGCGUUAUCCGGAAUCAUUGGGUUUAAAGGGUCCGCAGGCGGAUGUAUAAGUCAGUGGUGAAAUCCUGCAGCUUAACUGCAGAACUGCCAUUGAUACUGUACAUCUUGAAUUCGGUCGAAGUGGGCGGAAUGUGUAGUGUAGCGGUGAAAUGCAUAGAUAUUACACAGAACACCGAUAGCGAAGGCAGCUCACUAGGCCUGGAUUGACGCUCAGGGACGAAAGCGUGGGGAUCAAACAGGAUUAGAUACCCUGGUAGUCCACGCUGUAAACGAUGAUUACUCGUUUUCGGCGAUAUACGGUCGGAGACUAAGCGAAAGUGAUAAGUAAUCCACCUGGGGAGUACGAUCGCAAGGUUGAAACUCAAAGGAAUUGACCGG